ACAAGACAACGCUUGAGUCGCUUGACAGGAGAGCUCAGUAUGGCACCUGGCAUUCCUCUGCGGGUGAACGCACUCAACAAUCAACACACCUGACGCUGAUGAGACCUUCCCUGCCUUAAGCCAGCGUGUCCUGCGUUCCAGUGCCAGAACGUAGCUACAUGUCUCCGUACAUUCCCUGGAUUCGAGAAGUGUGUCUCGUUUCCCCGGAUUCCCUCUGGUCUUCUUGCUGCCUCCCUGGAUCUCGACCUCUCGCCUGGACAUGGACCCUGACGCCUCGCUCCUGCCCCUGACCUCUUGCUUGCCCACGGACCUCCGAGACUGCCUUGCCCCUUCUGGUCUUCCAGACACUCUCACAAAACGCACCUUCAACAUUGUACGGUAAAACACUCCAGCUAGACCUACCACAAAGUAA